rnacentral:lncRNA from 1 species
GUUCCUGGGACACGCCCAGAUGUUCGGCGCCUUCAAGAGGGACCGCGCGCCCUUCGUGCUGACCUCAGACAUGGCGUACGUGAUAACGGCGGUGAGAAGCCGACGAGCCGCUUCCAGCUGUUCGUGGAUCUGUGCUGUCAGUCGUACAACCUCAUCAGGAAGAACUCAGGGCUGUUCCUGAACCUGCUGUCUCUGAUGACGGGGUCCGGGCUCCGGAGCUCUCAGGGGCCCAUGACCUGAAGUACGUGUUUGAUGCUCUGCAGCCCAACAACACGGAGGCAGAAGCCACGAUCU